UUCACUAUGGACUUUGUGGAGGGCUACCGCGGCAGGCGCCUCGGGUCCGCAGAUUUAAGGACCCAGAACCCCGGCCCGCCAUGAGGACUGCGCAAACACGACAAAGCUGGAUGGCGGGCUUAAUAUAGAAUAUUGAAGGGAGCGGCCUGUCAUAAGGUUGCAUAUUAGCAGAAGGAACACCAGCAGCUGAGUUUUGGAGCCUGGAACAUUUGCCUUUUUGUGAGGUACUUAGUUUUAUCCAUUCUCAGGAUUUUGGAAUGGAGCCCUGAAGUGCAGAUUAUAGACCUGGUGGCAGCAACCUAAACUCUGGAGGCUGUAUCUCCCAGAGGAUGAUCAGUUCCGGGGAUCAGUAACCACCAUUGAUUUGGAUUCUGAAAAUCUAAACAGCUUCAACAUUUGGAAACAUGGUCACCUCGUGUGUCAGGCUGUUCACAAGAGAUCAUUCAGCAGGCCAGAUUGGUUUCAUUACCCCACCCAACAGGAAUUUCUGUACCUUUUAAUCAUUUUAUGUGUACACAUUGUUUGCCCUUGUAUUGGAAGGGUGAGAUCUUUAAGCCAAAAAUUGUUUCUCUUGAAUAUAAUGUCUAAUACCAUAAUAAACAAUG